rnacentral:tRNA from 1 species
GGUGGUGGCUCAGUGGCAGAGUGCUUGCCUCGCAAGCAUGAGGCCCUGGGUUCAAUCCUCAGCACCA